CCCAAACUCGGUUCUUAUCGGCCAAACUACAAACAAUCGAUACAAACAAUCGUUUCUCGUGUAUAAUCCAGUUCGAGGCAAUGGAAGGUGGCCCUUUUGCGAUUCGAAGAUAAUUGGCACGAGCUCCAUCUAGAAAGAAAGAGAAAGAGAAAGAGAGAGAGAGAGAGAGAGAGAGAGAGAGAGAGAGAGAGAGAGAGAGACGAUUCGUAUGACGCGAUAAUCUAAAAAGCGCGAUAAAUUGAUGCCUAAGAAUAAGGGGAGGGCAAGGGAAAGGGACUAUGACAUCGGCGGGGUUCGAUAAGGUCGGUUAAAAAGAGGGUUGAGGGGAAAAAUGAGCGAGGAAGACGAUGCAAACGGGUUGUCGGAAGCGUCAAGUGGGGUUUCGGGUGAGAGACGACCAAGAGAGGGUGAGAGUGUCGGGCAGGAUUCGUGGUGAUGGUGGGGAGAGCUCGGGUAUAUGGAGUGCAGGUAUGAUGGCGCUAGGAGCGGGCGCGGGACGAAGAGAGGGAAUCCGGUGGAUACGAACUUGAAUAGCGAACGGUGGUUCAGUUUGCUUUCGUUGAUCGUCGAGGAAGGUUGGUAACGGUGCGCCGUCUGGUGGAUCGUACCAGUUUUAACGCACGUUGCGAUUCUUCCUCUCGAUAUAUUCGAGAUCACGAUCGAUCUUCCAUUUUCCAGAGGCAACGACGUGGUGAACGUAGUCGUGGAUUACCGUGUGCCAACGACAGUGUGUGAAUGUGGUCGUGAUACGAAUGAAGAUCAGUUAGUGACUAAGAAGUGCACUCUACUGUGAGUAAAGUGUCAAAUGCCAGCGGAUCAUGAAUACGAUGAUACGAAACUGGAUUCUCUGCACCCUUUUUCUACUGGGAUACGUUCAAGGUACGUACACAUCGGAGCAUCAACCGUGUGACAAGCGUGGCCUGACGCGAACUGAAUUUCCCACGUGGCCGGCAGACACCAACGCAAUUUUAUCACCAUUCAUCGUACGUAUCACGGUGUCAUUGAUACGAAAUACACGCCACUAUUGUUCGCGCGAAAAAAUCGCCCGAAUGACGGAUACAAUGAACAUUACACCGUUUAUUGCAUCGAUUUUAAUCGUUUUAACGAAUUUCGAUACCGUCAUUCGUGUUAUUCUUCCUUGUAAUUGAUUUUCUACAAACGAAAAAUAGAACUUUUUUUUUUUUUUUUUACGAAGAUUAGUCACGAUAAAUCUAAAAAUGAAAGAUGAACAAUUUGGUGAUCUUCAUAAUUUUAGCUUGUGAUUUUCAGCAUAUAGUUUAUUAUACGAAAAAUGUAAUUAGAAAAUGACUUAAUUGUACUUUUUAAUGUUAGAUAUUAAAAGUUAUAUGAUAUAAUAAUUUGCACGAUAUUAUUUUGUAACUGAUUUAUAGAAAUAUUUUGAAAAACAAUAAAGAUAAUUUAAUUAUUAA